rnacentral:rRNA from 1 species
GACGAACGCUGGCGGCGUGCUUAACACAUGCAAGUCGAACGGAAAGGCCCUGCUUUUGUGGGGUGCUCGAGUGGCGAACGGGUGAGUAACACGUGAGUAACCUGCCCUUGACUUUGGGAUAACUUCAGGAAACUGGGGCUAAUACCGGAUAGGAGCUCCUGCUGCAUGGUGGGGGUUGGAAAGUUUCGGCGGUUGGGGAUGGACUCGCGGCGUAUCAGCUUGUUGGUGGGGUAGUGGCUUACCAAGGCUUUGACGGGUAGCCGGCCUGAGAGGGUGACCGGCCACAUUGGGACGGAGAUGCGGCCCAGACUCCUACGGGAGGCAGCAGUGGGGAAUAUUGCACAAUGGGCGGAAGCCUGAUGCAGCAACGCCGCGUGCGGGAUGACGGCCUUCGGGUUGUAAACCGCUUUCGCCUGUGACGAAGCGUGAGUGACGGUAAUGGGUAAAGAAGCACCGGCUAACUACGUG